CGGCGGACGGGUGAGUAACGCGUGGGUAACCUGCCUCAUACAGGGGGAUAACAGUUAGAAAUGACUGCUAAUACCGCAUAAGACCACAGCACCGCAUGGUGCAGGGGUAAAAACUCCGGUGGUAUGAGAUGGACCCGCGUCUGAUUAGCUGGUUGGUGGGGUAACGGCCUACCAAGGCGACGAUCAGUAGCCGACCUGAGAGGGUGACCGGCCACAUUGGGACUGAGACACGGCCCAA
rnacentral:rRNA from 1 species